GUGGGGAAUCUUCCGCAAUGGACGAAAGUCUGACGGAGCAACGCCGCGUGAGUGAAGAAGGUUUUCGGAUCGUAAAGCUCUUUCGUUAGGGACGAACGUGCUCUUUGUGAAUAAUGAGGAGUAAUGACGGUACCUAAAUAAGAAGCCACGGCUAACUACGUGCCAGCAGCCGCGGUAAUACGUAGGUGGCAAGCGUUGUCCGGAAUUAUUGGGCGUAAAGCGCGCGCAGGCGGGAUAUCAAGUCUGUCUUAAAAGUGCGAGGCUCAACCUCGUGAGGGGACAGAAACUGGUAUUCUUGAGUGUCGGAGAGGAAAGUGGAAUUCCAAGUGUAGCGGUGAAAUGCGUAGAGAUUUGGAAGAACACCAGUGGCGAAGGCGACUUUCUGGACGAUGUCUGACGCUGAGGCGCGAAAGCUAGGGGAGCGAACGGGAUUAGAUACACGUGUAGUCC
rnacentral:rRNA from 1 species